rnacentral:rRNA from 1 species
UACAGAGGGUGCGAGCGUUGUCCGGAAUCACUGGGCGUAAAGGGCGCGUAGGCGGCUUGAUAAGUAGGGGGUGAAAUCUCAUGGCUCAACUGUGAGGCUGCCUUCUAGACUGUCUGGCUUGAGCACAGUAGAGGCGAGUGGAAUUCCCGGUGUAGCGGUGGAAUGCGUAGAGAUCGGGAAGAACAUCGGUGGCGAAGGCGGCUCGCUGGGCUGUUGCUGACGCUGAGGCGCGAAAGCGUGGGGAGCAAAC